rnacentral:rRNA from 1 species
AUUGAACGCUGGCGGCAUGCUUUACACAUGCAAGUCGAACGGUAACAGGCCGCAAGGUGCUGACGAGUGGCGAACGGGAGAGUAAUGCAUCGGAACGUGCCCAGUCGUGGGGGAUAACGCAGCGAAAGCUGUGCUAAUACCGCAUACGAUGUGUGGAUGAAAGCGGGGGACCGAAAGGCAUCGCGCGAUUGGAGCGGCCGAUGUAAGCUUGGGUAGUUGGUGGGGUAAAGGCUCACCAAGCCAACGAUCUGUAGAUGGUCUGAGAGGACGACCAGCCACACGGGGACUGAGAAAAGGCCCAGACUCCUAAGGGAGGCAGCAGUGGGGAAUUUUGGACAAUGGGCGCAAGCCUGAUCCAGCAAUGCCGCGUGCAGGAAGAAGGCCUUCGGGUUGUAAACUGCUUUUGUACGGAGCGAAAAGGCUCUCUCUAAUACAGGGGGCUCAUGACGGUACCGUAAGAAUAAGCACCGGCUAACUACGUGCCAGCAGCCGCAGUAACAC